UACGAGGGGGGCAAAUGUUGUUCGGAAUCACUGGGCGUAAAGAGCUCGUAGGCGGUUUGUCGCGUCGUCUGUGAAAUUCUGCAACUCAAUUGUAGGCGUGCAGGCGAUACGGGCAGACUUGAGUACUACAGGGGGAGACUGGAAUUCCUGGUGUAGCGGUGAAAUGCGCAGAGUAUCAGGAGGAACACCGGUGGCGAAGGCGGCCCACUGGGCAGUCACUGACGCUGAGGCGCGAAAGCUCGGGGAGCGAACGGG
rnacentral:rRNA from 1 species